rnacentral:rRNA from 1 species
AGUGAACGCUGGCGGUAGGCCUAACACAUGCAAGUCGAACGGCAGCACAGUAAGAGCUUGCUCUUACGGGUGGCGAGUGGCGGACGGGUGGGGAAUACAUCGGAAUCUACUUUUUCGUGGGGGAUAACGUAGGGAAACUUACGCUAAUACCGCAUACGACCUACGGGUGAAAGCAGGGGAUCUUCGGACCUUGCGCGAUUGAAUGAGCCGAUGUCGGAUUAGCUAGUUGGCGGGGUAAAGGCCCACCAAGGCGACGAUCCGUAGCUGGUCUGAGAGGAUGAUCAGCCACACUGGAACUGAGACACGGUCCAGACUCCUACGGGAGGCAGCAGUGGGGAAUAUUGGACAAUGGGCGCAAGCCUGAUCCAGCCAUACCGCGUGGGUGAAGAAGGCCUUCGGGUUGUAAAGCCCUUUUGUUGGGAAAGAAAAGCAGCAGGUUAAUACCCCGCUGUUCUGACGGUACCCAAAGAAUAAGCACCGGCUAACUUCGU